rnacentral:rRNA from 1 species
AUGCGAGCCGAAGUGAAGAACUUCUUUGAAGGGGUGAAAGCAAAGAAACAUCCACCUCUGGAGGAGAAGGUAGAUCCAGCGAAUGCAAAGCGCACUCUGGCUGCCCUGACAAAACCACCAAAGUCUCCGCCGAGAGGCAACUAUGAGCGCGUUCUUGCAAAGACAUAUGUCGAAAUGGAGCGGUCGGGAAGUACUGUCAGUGAUAAAAGGAUGAAAGAACGACGAGCUGGGAAAAAAAUUGCCCAGCUCGGCGAACAAGUGAACCAAUCGUGCCCCCCGCUCAAGGUGUCAAAAGACAUCGUCGCUAAUGAUCCGAGUAUGGUGCCCGGUUAUAGCAAUCUUGGAGAUUACCUGCCCGACGAUGUACAUUAUGAAAUCAUGGAGGUGGACGAACACAAAUACCAUUACGGGAAGCCUCUCGUCAAAGAUGUCAGAUCUCUAAGCACGAUGAUGCGAAGACUACAUGAUUGGUACAUGAAAACCUGCAGAGAGUCUGAUGGGAUGAGUACUUUGACGCUGAGAGUUAAACCGGAGCAUGACCUCGUUGGAAUUGAACUGCUGAAUGUUCCAUUUGAGGAUUUGUUCCAGUUUUACAAUCAAAAGGCCCUCGAUAAAACAACGAUCACUUGCUACUGUCUGUAA